AUGAACGCUGGCGGCGUGCCUAAUACAUGCAAGUCGAGCGAACGGACGAGAAGCUUGCUUCUCUGAUGUUAGCGGCGGACGGGUGAGUAACACGUGGAUAACCUACCUAUAAGACUGGGAUAACUUCGGGAAACCGGAGCUAAUACCGGAUAAUAUUUUGAACCGCAUGGUUCAAAAGUGAAAGACGGUCUUGCUGUCACUUAUAGAUGGAUCCGCGCUGCAUUAGCUAGUUGGUAAGGUAACGGCUUACCAAGGCAACGAUGCAUAGCCGACCUGAGAGGGUGAUCGGCCACACUGGAACUGAGACACGGUCCAGACUCCUACGGGAGGCAGCAGUAGGGAAUCUUCCGCAGUGGGCGAAAGCCUGACGGAGCAACGCCGCGUGAGUGAUGAAGGUCUUCGGAUCGUAAAACUCUGUUAUUAGGGAAGAACAUAUGUGUAAGUAACUGUGCACAUCUUGACGGUACCUAAGCAGAAAGCCACGGCUAACUACGU
rnacentral:rRNA from 1 species